GACGAACGCUGGCGGCGUGCUUAACACAUGCAAGUCGAACGGUAAGGCCCUUCGGGGUACACGAGUGGCGAACGGGUGAGUAACACGUGGGUGAUCUGCCCUGCACUUCGGGAUAAGCCCGGGAAACUGAGUCUAAUACCGGAUAGGACUCCUGGCUUCAUGGUUGGGGGUGGAAAGCUUUUGCGGUGUGGGAUGGGCCCGCGGCCUAUCAGCUUGUUGGUGGGGUAAUGGCCUACCAAGGCGACGACGGGUAGCCGGCCUGAGAGGGUGACCGGUCACACUGGGACUGAGAUACGGCCCAGACUCCUACGGGAGGCAGCAGUGGGGAAUAUUGCACAAUGGGCGCAAGCCUGAUGCAGCGACGCCGCGUGAGGGAUGACGGCCUUCGGGUUGUAAACCUCUUUCAGCUAUGACGAAGCGCAAGUGACGGUAGUAGCAGAAGAAGGACCGGCCAACUACGUGCCAGCAGCCGCCGUAACAC
rnacentral:rRNA from 1 species